UCGCCCCUACGGGGGGCAGCAGUAGGGAAUAUUGCUCAAUGGGGGAAACCCUGAAGCAGCAACGCCGCGUGGAGGAUGAAGGUUUUCGGAUUGUAAACUCCUUUUGUUAGAGAAGAUAAUGACGGUAUCUAACGAAUAAGCCACGGCUAACUACGUGCCAGCAGCCGCGGUAAUACGUAGGUGGCAAGCGUUGUCCGGAUUUACUGGGUGUAAAGGUCGUGUAGCCGGGCCGACAAGUCAGAUGUGAAAUCCGUGGGCUUAACCCGCGAACUGCAUUUGAAACUAUUGGUCUUGAGUACCGGAGG
rnacentral:rRNA from 1 species